AUGAACGCUAGCGGCAGGCUUAACACAUGCAAGUCGAGGGGCAGCGGGGAGUAGCAAUACUCCGCCGGCGACCGGCGCACGGGUGCGUAACGCGUAUGCAACCUACCUUUAACAGGGGCAUAACACUGAGAAAUUGGUACUAAUUCCCCAUAACAUUCGAGAAGGCAUCUUCUUGGGUUAAAAACUCCGGUGGUUAAAGAUGGGCAUGCGUUGUAUUAGCUAGUUGGUGAGGUAACGGCUCACCAAGGCAACGAUACAUAGGGGGACUGAGAGGUUAACCCCCCACAUUGGUACUGAGACACGGACCAAACUCCUACGGGAGGCAGCAGUGAGGAAUAUUGGUCAAUGGACGCAAGUCUGAACCAGCCAUGCCGCGUGCAGGAAGACGGCUCUAUGAGUUGUAAACUGCUUUUGUACUAGGGUAAACGCUUCUACGUGUAGGAGCCUGAAAGUAUAGUACGAAUAAGGAUCGGCUAACUCCGUGCCAGCAGCCGCGGUAAUACGGAGGAUCCAAGCGUUAUCCGGAUUUAUUGGGUUUAAAGGGUGCGUAGGCGGUUUGAUAAGUUAGAGGUGAAAUACCGGGGCUCAACUCCGGAACUGCCUCUAAUACUGUUGAACUAGAGAGUAGUUGCGGUAGGCGGAAUGUAUGGUGUAGCGGUGAAAUGCUUAGAGAUCAUACAGAACACCGAUUGCGAAGGCAGCUUACCAAACUAUAUCUGACGUUGAGGCACGAAAGCGUGGGGAGCAAACAGGAUUAGAUACCCUGGUAGUCCACGCCGUAAACGAUGACUGCUAGGUGUCGGGUGGCAAAGCCAUUCGGUGCCGCAGCUAACGCAAUAAGCAGUCCACCUGGGGAGUACGUUCGCAAGAAUGAAACUCAAAGGAAUUGACGGGGGCCCGCACAAGCGGAGGAACAUGUGGUUUAAUUCGAUGAUACGCGAGGAACCUUACCCGGGCUUGAAAGUUAGUGACGAUUCUGGAAACAGGAUUUCCCUUCGGGGCACGAAACUAGGUGCUGCAUGGUUGUCGUCAGCUCGUGCCGUGAGGUGUCGGGUUAAGUCCCAUAACGAGCGCAACCCCUACCGUUAGUUGCCAUCAGGUCAAGCUGGGCACUCUGGCGGGACUGCCGGUGUAAGCCGAGAGGAAGGUGGGGAUGACGUCAAAUCAGCACGGCCCUUACGUCCGGGGCUACACACGUGUUACAAUGGUAGGUACAGAGGGCCGCUACCCCGCGAGGGGAUGCCAAUCUCGAAAGCCUAUCUCAGUUCGGAUCGGAGGCUGAAACCCGCCUCCGUGAAGUUGGAUUCGCUAGUAAUCGCGCAUCAGCCAUGGCGCGGUGAAUACGUUCCCGGGCCUUGUACACACCGCCCGUCAAGCCAUGGAAGCUGGGGGUGCCUGAAGUUCGUGACCGCAAGGAGCGACCUAGGGCAAAACCGGUGACUGGGGCU
rnacentral:rRNA from 1 species